rnacentral:rRNA from 1 species
UGGGGAAUAUUGGGCAAUGGGCGAAAGCCUGACCCAGCAACGCCGCGUGAGGGAAGAAGGUUUUCGGAUCGUAAACCUCUGUCCUUAGUGAAGAGUAAGAGACGGUAGCUAAGGAGGAAGCCCCGGCUAACUACGUGCAGCAGCCGCGGUAAUACGUAGGGGGCGAGCGUUGUCCGGAAUGAUUGGGCGUAAAGGGCGCGUAGGCGGCCUGUUAAGUCCGGAGUGAAAUUCCUGCUUUCAAGGUAGGAAGUGCUUUGGAAACUGGCGGGCUGGAGUGCAGGAGAGGUUAGCGGAAUUCCCGGUGUAGCGGUGAAAUGCGUAGAGAUCGGGAGGAACACCAGUGGCGAAGGCGGCUAACUGGACUGUAACUGACGCUGAGGCGCGAAAGUGUGGGGAGCAAACA